CAGCAGCCGCGGAAUACGUAGGGUGCGAGCGUUAAUCGGAAUUACUGGGCGUAAGGCGUGCGCAGGCGGUUGUGUAAGACAGGUGUGAAAUCCCCGGGCUUAACCUGGGAACUGCGCUUGUGACUGCACAGCUAGAGUAUGGCAGAGGGGGGUGGAAUUCCACGUGUAGCAGUGAAAUGCGUAGAGAUGUGGAGGAACACCGAUGGCGAAGGCAGCCCCCUGGGCCAAUACUGACGCUCAUGCACGAAAGCGUGGGGAGCAAACAGGAUUAGAUACCCCUGUAGUCCCUGUCUCUUAUACA
rnacentral:rRNA from 1 species